UGACGAGUGGCGGACGGGUGAGUAAUGCUUGGGAACUUGCCUUUGCGAGGGGGAUAACAGUUGGAAACGACUGCUAAUACCGCAUAAUGUCUUCGGACCAAACGGGGCUUCGGCUCCGGCGCAAAGAGAGGCCCAAGUGAGAUUAGCUAGUUGGUAAGGUAACGGCUUACCAAGGCGACGAUCUCUAGCUGUUCUGAGAGGAAGAUCAGCCACACUGGGACUGAGACACGGCCCAGACUCCUACGGGAGGCAGCAGUGGGGAAUAUUGCACAAUGGGGGAAACCCUGAUGCAGCCAUGCCGCGUGUGUGAAGAAGGCCUUCGGGUUGUAAAGCACUUUCAGUUGUGAGGAAAAGUUAGUAGUUAAUACCUGCUAGCCGUGACGUUAACAACAGAAGAAGCACCGGCUAACUCCGUGCCAGCAGCCGCGGUAAUACGGAGGGUGCGAGCGUUAAUCGGAAUUACUGGGCGUAAAGCGCACGCAGGCGGUUUGUUAAGCUAGAUGUGAAAGCCCCGGGCUCAACCUGGGAUGGUCAUUUAGAACUGGCAGACUAGAGUCUUGGAGAGGGGAGUGGAAUUCCAGGUGUAGCGGUGAAAUGCGUAGAUAUCUGGAGGAACAUCAGUGGCGAAGGCGACUCCCUGGCCAAAGACUGACGCUCAUGUGCGAAAGUGUGGGUAGCGAACAGGAUUAGAUACCCUGGUAGUCCACACCGUAAACGCUGUCUACUAGCUGUGUGUGCCUUUAAGGCGUGCGUAGCGAAGCUAACGCGC
rnacentral:rRNA from 1 species